GUUACCUCCACCCAGGCUCCCAAACAUCUGGAUGGAUGGGGCCCUGAGGAAUUGGUCUAGUACCAGACCUGGAGGUUGGUGGCUCUACCUGUGGCAGGGGGCUGGAACUUGAUGAUCCUUGGGGUCCCUUCCAAUCCGAGCCAUUCUAUGACUCUAUGAUGAUUCACCUGCCUCACCCCUUCCUAAAGACCCCACUGUUCAACAAGAUGCAGGAACUCAUCUUUGCCUUGGGAAUGUCUUCAGAACACACAGCAGCCUAUCUAGAGCACGGUCUGUAGCACCUUGGAGCUCUUUCUUCACUCUGCUACGUUGUUGUUCUUUUUAAUCCUAUUCACACUUGACAUGCCUUACACACAUGGCUCCCAGAUCUAGCUACCAUAACAAGGUUUGAAGUGUUCCUGCUAAACACAGAGCUUGGUGGCCCACUUGGCCAAGUCCAAUAACCACUAAAGUGCGUCUUCUGAUGCUCUCCUCACUCCAGAGCGCUUUCCACAAACCUAGAUCUCCAUUCUCAGGCAUUCCUUUUCCUGGCUGUGCCCCUCGCUCUUCUCUCCCUCAAGACUUGGCCUUCCAUUGAAGGAUCACAGUAAACCGCAGAACUUCAGCACAAGGCACAGACUCAGCAUCAGCUACAGGAAGGGCACGCACCUAACCCCAAGGCACAGCCACAAGGGCUGGGCACUGCGCUGCCCGUGGCCAAGAGUGCAGCAUAGAAAGGACCCAGGAACGAGGGAGGCCAAAGUAGCACGGAGCCUUGCUUGGGUGUGUGGGGCCAUCUGCCACCGCAGAAGUACAAUGCCUGAUUCUUGAAAUGUAAAAAUAGAUCUCAAAAGCGACAUGUUUUAAUGAACUGAGCACAAAGGAACAUGGGCGAAAUAAACUGAAAACAGAAGCAAGGUUCAAGGAGCUGUUUGUUAAAUGAGCACCCGGAGCCAGAAUAUGGUUUUGGUGCCGGAGAAUGCAGGCAGGCUGCGUCCUGCGCGCGCCACGGCUCUUUGGGAUGCGGGUGGGAGCGGGAGGGGUGAAUGCAGCCCUUGUUUGUCCUCUCUUGAGGAAUCUAAUUAUGUAUCAAUUGAUUUCAAAGCCCGCAAUAGCAACUCUCCGGCAAACACUCGCUCCCAGACAUUGUCCCAGCUUUCGCCCGGUCGUAAUUUAUUCACCUCGGGUUUAAAUGAGCACCUCGCACCGAUCCCCCCCCCUCCUCCCUCUCCUUGGGCGCUGAGCCUGGGGGAGUGGGGGUGGGGGAUCUACCAAGUUUCAACCACCCCAUACCUACGGGGGCUGCGGGCCGACCCUGGGGGGGGCAGAGCCGUGCCCCCGCCCCUCGCGGCGGGCAGGGAGCCACGAGCCGGCUGUCACUCGGCCUUCUGCCCGGCUGCGCGCCGUCAAAGGGCCGCCCGCGGGCGGCAGCACCUCGGAGCCGGCGGCGAACGCGUUGGCGAGGCCGGGGGCUGCGCUCCGGUCGUGCCGCAACGGGGGGGCCAGGGGGUCGGCGGAACCAAGCAUACGCGUGUGUGCACUACAUGCGAGCAUAAAGUCGCGCAAACGCACGUUCAAAUGGAAGCCCGGAGCUGCGCACAUGCCCGCGGAUGGGCGCAAAUCAGCGCAUGCAUUCACGCACGGAUACCUGCACGCACCGCCGUGCGCGCAUGCAUGCAUUUAAGCACGCACAAAGAUGCGCGUACUGACGUGCGCAGCCCGGAGGGGUCCCGUCGGGCUCAUGCAGGGGGGUCUGAUGGGGCUGCCCCCUACGCAGAAUCACGACCCACUGAGAAACUUCCCCCCUCCAACCGCCUCCGGCUUCAGUGCUCGUUUGCUUCGCGGAGAGCUUUGAGCCGUGGCACCCCUUCCCCAGAAGAGACGAGCGAUCAGUAUCAGAGCGAUACCUUCAAACGACCCUGUCCUCUCCGCAACUUAAAUAAACAGCAUCUGGAAACCAGGCCGGGGCCGCCCGCCCCCGCUACGGCCGCCCCCCCGCCGCUAUUAAGGACCCAUUACGGCGGUGGAGGCAGGGAAGGGGCAGGUUUAAAUGCUCCCCCCUCUCCCCACCACCACCACCAAGCGCAGACAAUUUUGAUGAGUGGGUUUUUGUCCGGAUGGUUCGUAAUGGUGCCUGUUUUGGGGUGUCCCGGGGGGUCCGGGAAGCUUUAAUUCGCUCACAAAGGCUCAUUUGCAGGUCAAUGCCAUGGCACACUCGCCUCUCCCCUUUGCCUAAAUCUCCUUUUGUUCCCCCUCGCCUGCUCCUCAUGCCAGAUGGCCGCGGAAAAUGCUAAUUUUCUCUCUCUCUCUCUCCCCCCCCCCCCCCCCCCCUCUUUUUUUUUUUGCAUUUAAUUGCGGCCCUUUGCAGAUGGGGGCCGCGGAGUGUGUGCUUCAUUCAAAUGAGGUUUGCUUUUUGGUUUCCAGGCACGUUUCGAAAAGUCCGAUGCGAGUCGGGCAGGGAUUAGGUUGACAGGGAAGUGAUCAGAUUAAACCCGGCCCGAGGGCGGCCGCCUCCCUCCGGCCCUACUCCUUCCCCGCCCUCCUCCUCCCAGGAAAAAAAAAAAAAAAAGAAAGAAAAAAAUAAAGAAAAAAUAAAAAAGGAAAAGCCGCCUUCU
rnacentral:lncRNA from 1 species